GACGAACGCUGGCGGCGUGCUUAACACAUGCAAGUCGAACGGAAAGGCCCUGCUUGCAGGGUACUCGAGUGGCGAACGGGUGAGUAACACGUGGGUGAUCUGCCCUGCACUUCGGGAUAAGCCUGGGAAACUGGGUCUAAUGCCGGAUAGGAGCCAUUUUUAGUGUGAUGGUUGGAAAGUUUUUUCGGUGUAGGAUGAGCUCGCGGCCUAUCAGCUUGUUGGUGGGGUAAUAGCCUACCAAGGCGGCGACGGGUAGCCGGCCUGAGAGGGUGGACGGCCACAUUGGGACUGAGAUACGGCCCAGACUCCUACGGGAGGCAGCAGUGGGGAAUAUUGCACAAUGGGCGCAAGCCUGAUGCAGCGACGCCGCGUGGGGGAUGACGGCCUUCGGGUUGUAAACUCCUUUCGCUAGGGACGAAGCUUUUUGUGACGGUACCUAGAUAAGAAGCACCGGCUAACUACGUG
rnacentral:rRNA from 1 species